GUCUGUGCAUGUUUUUUUUUUUUUUACUCUCAUAGAUUUUGUUACCAUUGACAUGCAUUAUACGACUGACAGACUGCAAUGGUUGGAGUUAAAAAUCAUCAUUUGUGUUGUAAGGCCCGCCCAAUUGGCCCAACGGCGGUUUCCCAUAGGACGGGGAAGGUUUCUUGCACGUUCUGUCUUUUCAGUGUGGCAAAUUAAUUUAAUUCCAAGUAAACUUUUAUUUGACUCCAUGUUAUUAUGACCUCGAAUUUAGUUAAGAAUGUCAAUUGAUUAUUGUUUAUUUGUAUAAAAAUUUGGCUCUACAUUUGAAUAUUCUAUUUAACUCUUUACUCUUAUUGUACUCGUUCAUUCGGUUCUCAGAGUCGCAAAGGGUCCUCGCACUGGCCAUUCAUUAAUUAUGCGGGCACACGAUCACAAACUUGCCAGUCUUGGUCACUAGACAGAGGUAAUUGACUAUACUAUUUAGAAGGCCGCUUUCAUGCUUGCUUCAUCUAAAAGUAUUCUGUUUAGUCCCCAUAGAUAUGUAUACACUGAAUUAAAGUAACACUAUCUCUAAUCAGAGGUCAUAACCACUACUACAGAUAAGCCGACCAAUAUUACUUCUCUUAAAGUAGCUUUGGUUUGGUUAUGCCAUGGUUUCCCACGUACACUUAGCUAGAGUAACAUUACAUUAAACAGAGGUAAGGCUCACCCUAUUUAGUUUGGAUUUUGGACUUUAGUCUGAUACUAACCUGACGCAGAUUUGCGGUAACAAUGGAUACAUCAUAAUCUACUUAAGUCAAUAAUUUCAAAGUAAGUCAGAAUAAAAUCAAAUGUGACAAUUUAUCAGUCAGGUAAAUGUAUCAUGCCAAUUACAUAAUCAAUUCAAAGAUAAUCAAUACAAAACAUCAAAUACUCAGAAUUAGAGUAAGAUGCAUACAUGACAUUAGAAAAAUACACAUUGCUGAGUGUCCUGGACACUCAGCAAUGUGGGCUUCAUCUGAAUACAGAGUCGCCCCGAGCCUUUUGCAGCAUUUCUUUAAAUACUCAGACCAAGACAAAACAUCCCCCAAUGUGGGGCAUGAAUUUACAAUUUGCAUCAGAAUUUGCAUUGUCUAGGGUCACAGACCCAGGGAGUUCGCACCUUGCUGUGGAACAGGAGGUGGUUUGGAUGAAGGACCCCGGGAAAGGGGCACACCCACAGUCAACCAAAGUAUCUCUAAACUCUUAAAACCUUUAAUACCUUUGGUUUACUUCCAUGUAGAUGAGACCAUUGUACCAGUUGCACUGAGACACUUCAAACGAUACCAAACAUGUACAGCAUUCUGUGAUGAUUGUUCACAUUAAACCAUAUGGAUUUUGGGUGAAUUUCAGGUUAUCUCUGCAUGUAGAGAGAAGAGAUGGGGGAAGAGGGGGUGAAGGAAGGGAAAUGUAGAUUAAGGCAGGUGUUAGGUGUGAUUGACUCAGUGUGAUCGCGUCUCAGAUGGGGAUGCUAAUUUUGCAAGUGAGAGUUCAAAUGUUAAUUUCCUUUGUUUUCUCAAAGAGUAGCCCAUUCUUGGUCCAGGCACUCCGGCAUCAGUCUUACAGUGUUCUACUGAAGAAACAAAGUCACCUACAUCUUGGAUGCCCUGGGGUGACUAAAGACCAUCCUGUUCAUCCUAUUCUAAUCCUGUCCCUUCUCUUAACAUCUGUCAUGUGGAUUUGCUCCCUGUAUCAUGUGCUUUGGGUCGUUCAAAGUAUUCCAGACUUAAGCAUCCUGAACUCAAUAAAUUAAAGACUGUAAAGGA